UUGGCUGCUCCUCUUGGCUGAAGGAGGCAGAGGAUUAAAACAUGUUGUGGAGGAUCUGACCAGUUCCACUCCAAAUGAAUCCAAAAUGGACAAAACAGUCAAAGCGAGAUCGCUCAUUACCAUCAAGAUAUGAGACUUCAUCAUAAGCCAUCAUCAGGUUCAGUUUGUCUCCAGCGUUUGAAUCCCGGAGCCGGUUAGACAGCACUUUGUGAUCUUUUGAUGAAAGAUGCCGUAUAAAUAAAAUUGGACUCGGAAGAGAGAGAUCUUGAUGCCGGCAUUAGAGACUGCUCUCUGCACUCGACAGAUUUCGAGAUCAAGAUUUGCCUCUCAGCUGAAAGAUGUGAAGAGGUCCCCCUCUUUCCUUUUUUAAUCAGUUCGGAUUAGAGCUGGUUACCCUGCUCUCUGCCGGUUUUGAUCGUCGCACGCAAUCAGACGGGAGAAGUGUUCUGUGGAUCUAACAGAAGUGGAUUCAACUGCCGCGAUGGGAGUAAAUAGUUGAAUCCGGCAUUCUCUCUACCUUCAAACCACCCAUUUCAAGAAAUCCAAACUACUCGGCAUUUGCACCGAAGACUUCCAAACGGAGAACCGGGAUACCGAGUUUGAACUGCCUCGUGAAAUACUCAUAUUUUUCAAGUAGUUUCCAAUUAUGUCAAAAGGAAUUGUGAAAUUCCUCUGCAUGUGAACUCCAGUCAUCUCCACCAUCUUCAAACCAUGCCCUGGUUUCAGCACUCAGUGUUACCAGCCCGCUCGGUUCAUGAACCUACAGUAAUAAUAAUAAGUAUUAAUAAUAAA